UAUCUGAAAUACCUCAUGCUGAAUUUUAGUUUUAUUUGCCAUUUCCAAAAGACAUUUUUUGCUUUUUUUUUUGGUUCAUCGUGUUUAAUAAUAAAUAAAAGUUUUGACUGAGUUUGCUGCAGUUUGUUUUCAGAAUGACUUUGAAGCACACUGUUUAUCUGCACGUUGAACUGAAAAUGAAAGCAGUAUUAGCGAAAAGCAUAUUUUGCUUUUUUCAGAUUUCAAACAUUUUUAAGGUCAUGUGGGUAUUGCUGGCCAAGCAUCAGUAGUUUAUUUAUUGCUUGAUUACAAGUGGAAUAGUAAAUGGGAUGAAAUAAGCUGGAUAUGGAGGAUUACCAACUGCUGUUGGCGUACAACCACACGUUUAAAGAUGUCUUCAUUCAUUAACAGACUCCUUUAGCUUGCCAAGGCUGGAAAUGAAAUGCAAGUCACAGCUUGUGCAUUUAUCACUGUAAGGAAAGCCUCCUGCCAGUACUGGUUAGGCAAAGUGUACUUGCAGCCAUUAGUAGUCCAGUCUGAUUACUGGGCUCAAUGUGUUACCAAUGGCAACCAGUGCCACUGCCAAUGCAUCCACAGCACUCUUUCCAUCUGUGCCUACAGCAAAAAUUUGAAAUCUUAGAGUUUAACCUUCUGAAACAACCUCACAGACAUAAUUAAUUAAUUAAUUAAUUUUCUAAGGGGUUUUUUUGUUUGUUUUUUUUUCCAGCUGGCACACCUGCAUCAAUCAAACUGACCCUUACCUUCUGUAAAAGCCAAAUAGCAAUCGGCCAGCAGCACUUCAAUUAUGACUCGUUCUGUGAAUUGAUAUCUCAGGGCUGUGCUCUUAAACUACCUGCAGUUCUCCCUCCCAGCCUGUGCAGCUUCUCCUUCUGAGAGAGAGCUGGGAAUAUGUGAGGAUGGACACAAGUGUUAAAGCAUCCCUGUGACUGGAUGAUGACCAUUUCAAGACUGGUUAGUAUUAAAAGACUGUCAGCACCUCUGUGCAAAUUCAUUUGAGAGCUUGAGCUGAGAGGCUAAAAAGCAUAUCUUAGUAUAGGAAAAAGAGUGUUCUCCACAAGGGCAUAGGAAGAAUGAAGCUGAUUUAAAGAAAAUGCAAACAAGAAGAUAGAGGGCAAGGCAAGGCAUUCAGGAGAAUAAAACUGAAAAAAAUAAAAAAAAAAAACCAAAAUCAAGAAUAUCUAUUGUGAGGAAUGAGAUAUUUUCAUAGCUCUGACUAUAACGAGAUGAUAAAGUAAUUCUAUGAAAAUAGGAAGGAGUGCAUGCACAUAUUUUUUGUUCCUGAACAUCCUUCUCAAUCUCUGAGCAAUAUCUGAUAAAUUGUGCAGUUUUUUAAAAAGAGAAACAACCCCCCCCCCCACAAAACUCAACAAUUGAAUCACAAAGACUUCUAUAAAACUGUUUUAACCUCAACCUGUUUUAAAGUCUGACCAUAUACCUUUAUGCAAAUUUCUUAAAUAGCUAAUAAACUGAAGCAUAGGCCAAAAGCCUUUGACAUACUGGUUUUAAAUAUCUGAGAACUGUUUUCAUUAAAAGGAAAACUGUUGAGCCAAAGCUUGAAUGCCUCUUUCAUCCAAAUCCAUCCAUGAUUUGUCAGUUUCUGCUGUGCACAUUCUGUUUCUGAGAUAGUAAUUUAGCACAAGUCCCUUCUCCAAAAACGCAAUUCAGCGUCCUUGACUGGUACUGAGAGAAAAAUGGGCAGAAAAAAGUGAUCAUUAUCUAUCCAGGGAGAAUAGCAGGAGAAACUCACAUAAAACAAGGGCUCAUUCUCUGGAGGUGAGGGUACAAUUAAUAUAUUUCAAGAUAUUAAAGGCCAGAGGGAUGUUGUGAACAAAUAAGCA